UUAUUAUAUAGUAAAAAACAAUAAACUAAUCAAAAUAAGAUUCUUAAACUUAACAAUAAUAACUCUGUAGUGAACUAAUGAAAUCAAAAUUAGAACAAAAAUUAAACAAUUGAGGAAACCCUAAACCCGUAGAAGUAGAACCGUUGAAAACAAACAGUCUAUGGCGAAAAAACACUCAUCAUCGUUCAAUUAAAUGGUAAUUGAACUAAAAUAGUGAUAAACAUUGAGAAAGCAUCGGAAAAUUGAGGAUUAAUUAGGAUCGAUUAACUGAAAGAUUAAGAUUAGCGAGUUUUUGAGAGAGAAAAAACCUGAUGGAUGAUGUUUGAUCUCAGAAUUGAGAGAGGAACACACGAAACGAAUAUA
rnacentral:lncRNA from 1 species